UGAGGAAUAUUGGACAAUGGGCGAAAGCCUGAUCCAGCCAUGCCGCGUGAGUGACGAAGGCCUUAGGGUUGUAAAGCUCUUUUGGCGGGGAAGAUAAUGACGGUACCCGCAGAAUAAGCUCCGGCUAACUUCGUGCCAGCAGCCGCGGUAAUACGAAGGGAGCUAGCGUUGUUCGGAAUCACUGGGCGUAAAGCGCACGUAGGCGGAUUGUUUAGUCAGGGGUGAAAUCCCGGAGCUCAACUUCGGAACUGCCUUUGAUACUGGCAAUCUCGAGUCCGAUAGAGGUGGGUGGAAUUCCUAGUGUAGAGGUGAAAUUCGUAGAUAUUAGGAAGAACACCGGUGGCGAAGGCGGCCCACUGGAUCGGUACUGACGCUGAGGCGCGAAAGCCAGGGGAGCAAACGGGAUUAGAUACCCUAGUAGUCCCUGAGCGGGCUGGCAAGGCGCAU
rnacentral:rRNA from 1 species